rnacentral:rRNA from 1 species
GGACCAAGGAGUCCAACAACUGCGCGAGUCUAAGGGUGCUGUGAGCAGACCCGGAGGCGCAAUGAAAGUGAGCCUGAGAGGAGGCAGGCCGAUCCCCGGCCGGCGUUGGGGUGGGAUGUGGUCCGUGGCAUGAGUGAAUGUUCUGCCUAGGGUCCUCUCGCCCCGGCGCUAGCGCCUGGCUCCGCAAGGGGCCGGGAGUCUAAUUGAGGACGGGGCGCAGGCCGAGGACUUGUCGCUCAGCGGCCCGGGCGACGGGGCGUGUGGUGCAAGCCGCGCGUCCUUAGCCCGGUGUUUCCGCGGGCAAGUACCUGAGAGCGCAAACGUUGGGACCC